UCCGUUGUAGUGUUGUUGGUUAGGAUACUCGGCUUUCAGCCGAGAGACUCGGGUUUAAUUCCUGGCAACGGAA
rnacentral:tRNA from 1 species